CGGUGGCCAAGAUGGCGUCCUUUCCCGUAAAACCCGGAGGAUUGAGCCUUACUGGGAAUCUUGCCCUGGAGGCGAGGAAAAGCCUAUUGUAUGAGUUUAAUCUGCACUCACUAUACACCUUGGAACACCACUGUCCUUUCCAGUAACACAGAGUGAAAGCGAAUAGAAUGGAAAAAGAUCCUCUAGUUCAGAGCCCUGGUGGGCAGAGACCUCUGGGAGUGCUAGCUCACUGAAGGAGUGCGCAGGCGCAGGCUUCGUGGCUCGCCAUCGUCGCCUUUGUCUGGGUGGCCUCCACCUGUUUCUCCUGUGUAUUACCUGAUCAGUAAUUCACAGCACAGCACAGCACAGCACAGCACAGCACAGCAACACAGCACAGCACAACUAUGGCUCGUACACCUCCAAGUAAGAGAAGAUAGCACGUGAGUCCUGAAUCGCUUCACUCAUUGCAAGUUAAGAGGUUACAGUUCAAACAAAAACCCUUGGUGUCUGAGAAGAAACAUCCAUCUGCAGACGCAGCCUUUGGAGUUUAUACACACAGAUCAGGACACAGGAUGAAAGACGACUGAGUUGUCUCAGGUUUCUGUAUACAGACAAACUAACGACACAGAGUAUAUGCCCUGGGCGCAGACUCUGGUUCUACAAGAGUUCCUCCUCUAUAUGGGACUCAGUCGAAGAGAAUUAACUGUGAUUUACCCGCAUUUAUCAUAUAUGACCAUGAGAGAAACAGUAAGAAAGAACCAUUGAUACAAAGACUGAAAGUUCUGUAUUCCAGUCCCUCAUAACUACACCUCAGGUCACUCACGUAAAAGGGCUCAUAUAUCUGGCUCGUAU